rnacentral:tRNA from 1 species
UCGGGCGUGGCCAAGCGGUAAGGCAGUGGACUUUGGAUCCACGAUCCUAGGUUCGAAUCCUAGCGCCCGAGCCA